rnacentral:lncRNA from 1 species
GGGGCAGAGUCGCAGACACUUGGAGGGACCUCUUAGCUCUCAAGCUCAGGGCAACCUACCCCUGGUGAGGGAAGAUAAGGUGUCCUAUCCAGCCAUGAAGGGCUCAGUGAAGGGGAUCCUGGGAACCUGGCAGAGAACUACCCCUAAUCUGGGCCAAGACUAUUCCCUUUGCCGAACAGGUCUUUAGGGACCAGUUUAUAUAUCCCCCACACCCUUAUGGGGUUUUCCUGAGGCUCUCCCAUUGCUGGGAAUCCUUGUGUGGGUCACUUCAUCUUUCUGAGGCAAUUAAGUCAGUUUCUGUGAAAGAUUUUUAAUAGCUAUGGAGCUUGAUGAGAGGAGGCAUAUAAAGUGCUCAGUUCUGGGCCUGGCACUCGAUGACCAACAGUAAAUAUUAAAUGAAGACCUUUCCAUUCCGUCCCCCACUUCUCCCUGUAGCAGAUGGGCUGUGGAGCAAGGUGGUCUCUGCUAACUUCACUUGCCAUGGUGAAUUAUCUGACUUCUGCUGGGAUCUGCCCAGUGGAGGCCGAGGGUCUUGGUCACUCAGAUGGUUGUGGGAAGUGUAUAAGCCUGGCGUGGAAUAUGGACAUGGAACUGUGUUGGCUGUGGUUACGCUGGCAGUGUGAUCUGGGUUGUCAGUCUCUUUAAGCUACAGGUCUUGUCUGUAAAAUGGGGUCCUAAUGACUAUCUGACAAUUGUUUUGCAUGCAGUCAGUGCUCAAUAAGUGCAAGCUACUGCUGUUAAUAAUGUGUGUGGGGGGGGGCAUUUAAUUGCCAGGCUUCCUGGGAAGAGGGUCCCCAGGGCCUCUCCCAGUGUUGAGCAUCUUUGGCUGGAUCAGGUAGGAAGCAGCAUCCAUCUGACAGAAGGGUCCUCAGUGUCCAGUGGGGCUGUGUGGCCACACGCUCCCAGCCAGACCCUGUUUCCUCUAUCCCCUCUCCCUGAAGAAACAGGUGGGCAGGCUGCCCAAGGGAAGUGACUCAGCUGGGGUCACUUGUUGAGUCAGGCCUAAUUGGACCCUGUAGCCCUGCACCCCAGUUUCCAGUGGCUUGAGGUCCCUUGGGGACUGUACAGGUCCCCAGGUCAGGCAGGAGAUCCUUGGUCACAGCCAGGCAUCCCUUACUUGGGCCCCAUGGCCAAUGCAGCCAAUGUUCCUGUCAGAGCUCUGGGUCUCACUGGCCACCUCUAGGCUGGGUGUCCUUCCCUGCAGCAGGGGCAAGGGACACUUCCCCAGGGAAGCAGGUCCUCCUGGAGGCCCUGGGCAGCUCUGCCCUGG